rnacentral:lncRNA from 1 species
UAUUAGAGUGAGAUAUGAGAGAGAAGAGAUAGAAAGCUAAAAGAGAAAAGAGAGAAACUAAUUCUGUUUGUUUUUAUGUAUAUUAUUGGAAUGGAGCAUGAUGCUCUAUUUAUACAAGAGGAGUUGAACAUUCAAGAGUUGAAUCAUUCAAGCUCUACAUUUAAGGAUGACCUUAAUUAUUCUAUAGUGCUGAACUUUUCUUAUUCUAUUAAAUUAAGGCUGGUCUUAAUUAUUCUAUAGUGCUGAUUUUUCAUAUCCUAAGAUAUAACUCUAAUACUCCCCCACAAGCUCAAGGUGGCUGCAAAGGCUGACUUGAGGCAGACAGGUUGAGCUUGCUGCUGAGCUCCAUAAAUCUUGAACUUGAGAGAGGCUUGGUGAGGAUGUCAGCCGUCUGGUCAACACCAGGAAUGUGGCAGACAGUGAGAGACUUAUUAAGGACCUUUUCUCUUACAAAAAAGAGAUCAAUUUCCAUAUGCUUUGUUCUCGCAUGAAGAACAGGGUUAUGAGCCAUAGCAACUGUGCUCUGGUUGUCACAAUAGAUGGCUGGAGUUGUCAAGGGAAUUUUUAGUUCAGCUAGCAAAGUUUGAACCCAUAAAACUUCAGCUGUGGUGUGCGCCAAGCUGCGAUAUUCUGCCUCGGCACUAGAACGAGCAACAACAGUUUGCUUUUUAGACCACCAAGAGAUCAAAUUAGAGCCUAAGUACACAGCUGACCCAGAGGUGGAUCUUCUAUCAUCUGGGUCAGCAGCCCAGUCAGCAUCACAGUAGGCCUGCAGAGAGAACGGAACAGUGGAGGCAGGAGUGAACAAUAAACCCGAGGUGAUAGUGCCUUUUAGGUAGCGUAGAAUACGCUUGACAGCUAGCCAAUGGGACUCCAAGGGGUGUGCCAUGAACUGACAUACUUUGUUAACAGCAUAGCAGAUUUCUGGGCGUGUAAUUGUUGCAUACUGCAGGGCCCCUACAAUGGACCUGUAGUGAGAGGCAUCAGACAAGGCAGCAGACCCUGUUUUGAUGAGUUUGGUGGUGGAUGCCAUAGGAGUAGCAACUGGAUUGGAAUUCUCCAUAUCAGUUUUGAUUAGCAAGUCCCUUAGGUACUUAGAUUGAGUGAGAAGGAGAUUACCAUUGGACAGUUUCUUCACCUCAAGGCCCAGAAAAUAAUCCAAGUCACCAAGUUGUUUGAGAGAAAACACAUGAUUUAGUUGUUGAGUAAUUUGCUUGAUGAGAGGAGGAGAGUUUCCUGUGAUGAUUAUAUCAUCAACAUAAACUAGCAUAUAAAUGACAGCACUGUGAUGCUUGUAGAUGAACAAUGAAGUAUCACACUUGCUGUUCAGAAAUCCAAAGGAUAAAAGAGUGGUUUUCAGUCUUUCAAACCAUUGCCUUGGGGCCUGUUUGAGGCCAUACAAGGCCUUGUGCAAGUGACAAACCAGAGAUGAAUUAGGGGCAGUAAAUCCAGGGGGUUGCAUCAUAUAGACCUCCUCUUCAAGAAUGCCAUUCAAAAAGGCAUUGUUUAUAUCCAAUUGCUGUAGAGGCCAAUUAUAAGUAAGAGCAAGAGUCAAAAUAAUUCUAAUUGUGACCGGUUUAAUAACAGGGGAGAAAGUUUCAUUAAAGUCAAAUCCAUGGACUUGAUGGAACCCCUUAGCAACAAGCCUAGCUUUGUACUUAUUUACUGUCCCAUCAGCAUUUUCCUUUACACGAAAAACCCACUUGCAGCCUAUUGCUUUCCUGUUAGCAGGCAGUGGUACCAAAGACCAAGUGUUGUUCCUCAUCAAGGCACCAUACUCAUCUUGCAUAGCAGCAAACCACUUAGGAUCUUGGAGAGCAGUUUUAACACUCUUAGGCUCAGAAUUGACAAGAAAAAUGGAAGGAUUUAGACGAGGUAAGGGUACACCAGAUUUAGUUCUAGUAGUCAUAGGAUGAGUAUUGGUGGGGAGAGGUUGAAGGUUAGGAUCCCUAGGAGUAGAAAUAGAGGAGGAGGAUGGUGAAGUGGUAGUAGUGGGCUGAUUGUUGGCAUUUGAAGAGGGUGAAGGAGUAGGAUUAGUGCUGGCUGUUUGGGUUAUAGGGUUGGCUGACACAGAGGCAGUAGGUGUGUGGCUGGAAUUGAAUUGAGAAGAAGAAGAGGAGUGUGAGGUAGUGGAAGCAGUAGGAACGGGAAAAACAUUAGGGAGAGCUUGUGUGUUAAGGGUUACUUUAGAUGAAGAAGAGGAUGGAAUGGUUGAUGAGGGGAGAGAAACAUUAGGAGAGAAAAUAUCAUUGUAAGGAAAUUUGGACUCAUUGAAAAGAACAUCUUUAGAGAUGAAUAUUCUACCACUUGGGGAGAGACAUUUGUAACCUUUGUGAGCUGUAGAGUACCCUAGAAAAAGGCAUUCAUGGGAUCUAAAAUCAAAUUUCUGAGAGUUGUAUGGGCGAAGGAGAGGAAAACAAGCACACCCAAAGACUUUGAGGAAUUUAUAAUCAGGAUUUUGAUUGAAAAGGACAGCAUAUGGUAUAUGUUGAUUGAGAGACAUGGUUGGUAACCUAUUUAUUAGGUAGACAGCAGUUAAAAAGGCAUGAUCCCAAAAUUUGAGAGGUAAAGAGGCAUGACUCAAGAGAGUUAAACCAAGAUCAACAAUGUGUCUAUGCUUCCUCUCCACUACACCAUUUUGGUGAUGAGUGUGAGGGCAAAUUAGACGAUGAAUAAUGCCAAGAUCAGAAAGAAAUUUUGUAAAUGGGCGAAAUUCACCACCCCAAUCAGUUUGGACAGAUUUAAUAGGAAAUCCAAAUUGUAAUUCAGCCAUGACUUUGAAUUGUUUAAAGAUAGUUAAGGCUUCAGAUUUAUUUUUGAGCAAAUAGAUCCAAGUAAAUCUAGUGUAUGCAUCAACAAAGGUGAUGUAGUAGGUAAAGUUUUGAGAGGAUUUGACUGGGGCAGGACCCCAUAGGUCACUGAAAAUUAAUUCAAGAGGAGAGUGAUAUUGAGUUUGUGAUUGAGGGGAGUGCAGCCUAUGUGCCUUUCCCAUACAGCAGGCAGAACAAAAGACCGAUUCAGCUUUAUUAGAAUAAGGAAUAUUACAUUGAGCUAAAACAAGUCUCAUAGUAUUAGGAUUUGGAUGACCAAGGCGUAAAUGCCAAGUAUGUUGAGAAUUAUAUGAGUUAUUAGCUGAUACAUUUUGAUUAGAAACUGAAACCUUAUCACUAGUGCUGGAAUCAGAUCUUGAAACAGGAGCAUUAGAGUCUAAGGUGAGACAUGAGACUUGACUUGUUGAAGGAGACUUAAGAAGCUGAAGGUGGGAAAAUUGGUACAGGCCAUCACUUCCUACACGACCUUGGAGCAGAAUUUCAUUGGUAGCCUGAGAUUUGACAUAACACAUAUCAGCAUGAAACUCAAAGAAAACUUUAUUAUCAAGACAGAAUUUGCUGACACUUAUCAGGUUCUUUGUAAUAGAAGGAACAAGCAGUAAAUUAUGAAGAGCUAAUGGAGUGUUGGGUUUAGAAUGAGAGGGAAAAUAAGAAGAUCCUGAAGAGUGAAUGUGCAAACCUUGACCAUUACCAAUGAAGAUCUGAUCAGGACCUUCAAAAGGUGUGGUCUGCUGUAUGUUUUGAGAGGCAUUGGUAACAUGAUAAGAAGCUCCUGAGUCUGGGAACCAGGCACUGCUUGGAACUGAAGCUGUGUUAGCAAUCAUAGCAUUGGGAGUGAUCUGUGAUUGAGGAACAGGGAGAGGAGCAAGUCUUGGUUGAUAGUUUGGGCGUGACCAAGUGUUAACCAUGGGCUGAGCAAACUGAGGUCCACCAAUUGGUUGAUACGGAUUGUAGAAAUUUUGUAGGUUCAUUGUUUGAAAAUCAGCAGGUAUGUUAGGUUGAAACUGUUGAUUGAACCUGUGAUAGCAGUUAGCAGCAAGGUGACCAUAUUUGAAGCAAACUUGACAUUGAAUGUUGCUGAACCUACCUCUCCCACGGCCGCGUCCACCACCACGGCCAGAUGCACGACCUCCUCUUGAAUAGGUUGGAUUAAAGGUUGAAUUCACAGCUUGUUCACUGUUCUUGUUAUUGGAGUUAUCAGUUUCAGGUUGAGAAUUAGCUUGAGUGAGAUUCACUGUGGCAGCCACCUCCAUUUGAGAGUGUUUCUUAUACUUGUUGAAUCUCAUCUCAUGAGCAAGAAGAAGAGCUUCAACUUCUUCAAGUUCUACUGAAUCAAACUUGCUUUCAAUGACUGAAAUAACAGAGGCAAAGUCUUGAGGAAGACCUUCAAGAAUCACAUCAAUGUGCUGCUGAUCUGGAACUGGAUCUCCGACUGAAGCAAGCGCAUCAACAAGAACUUUGAUGCGAACCAGGUAAUCACCAACAGAUUUGUCUUCAAGUGUUGUAGAUCUAAGUUCCGCUCGUAGUUGUCUUGCUUUCGCACGUGUAAGCUUUUGAAAAUGCGCAAGAAUACGUUCCCAGAGCUCGUAGGAAUGAACGCAUCCAAGAACACGUGAAAGAAUCGAAGGUGAAAGCGUGGAUUGAAGCCACGUCAUAAGCCACUGAUCUUGCGUAAUCCAGGUGCGAUACGCAGGAUUCUCACGAGCAGCUUCACGAUCUUCAUCAGUUAGAUAUUGAUUCGGUAUGUCACGAAGGUAAAGGUAGUUUUGAAGAUUAUUCGCGUUAACGAAAGGAUCUACUUGUUGGCGCCAAAGUAGGAAAUUCUUCUCAUCAAGUUUUUCUGUGAUUUUGAGUUGGAAUGACAUAGAUGUUGCGGUGGCCGGAGCUGUAGUUACCGGAGUCGCUGCCAUGGAUAGAACCGAAGCUCUAUGAUACCAUAUUAGAGUGAGAUAUGAGAGAGAAGAGAUAGAAAGCUAAAAGAGAAAAGAGAGAAACUAAUUCUGUUUGUUUUUAUGUAUAUUAUUGGAAUGGAGCAUGAUGCUCUAUUUAUACAAGAGGAGUUGAACAUUCAAGAGUUGAAUCAUUCAAGCUCUACAUUUAAGGAUGACCUUAAUUAUUCUAUAGUGCUGAACUUUUCUUAUUCUAUUAAAUUAAGGCUGGUCUUAAUUAUUCUAUAGUGCUGAUUUUUCAUAUCCUAAGAUAUAACUCUAAUACCUCUAAAUUAUUUUUGUAGUGAAAUUCUCUGUAACACCAACACCUCUAAAAGAAGACGUGUCGUGUCCGGUGUUCGAGUUUCAUAGCUGAAACUACCAAAAAAUUCAACCAUGCAGUGAGGUAUUAUAUUAUCUCAGCAAUAUAGCAAUAUGAUUGAAAAUUUAC